rnacentral:rRNA from 1 species
UACAGAGGUCCCGAGCGUUGUUCGGAUUCACUGGGCGUAAAGGGUGCGCAGGUGGUUUGGCAAGUUUGAUGUGAAAGCCCCGGGCUUAACCCGGGAAUGGCAUUGAAUACUGCUAGAACUGGAGGGUUGGAGGGGGGACUGGAAUUCUUGGUGUAGCAGUGAAAUGCGUAGAUAUCAAGAGGAACACCAGUGGCGAAGGCGAGUCCCUGGACAAACCCUGACACUGAGGCACGAAAGCCAAGGGAGCAAACAGG